GUAACACGUAGUCAACCUGCCCUGGAGACAUGCCACAACCCCGGGAAACUGGGAUUAAUCCGUGAUAGGUCAUCUCAUCUGGAAGGAGAGAUGGCUUAAAGGGAUGCGCGGGCUUCUUCUGCGUAUUUGCUCCAGGAUGGGACUGCGUCCGAUCAGGCUGUUGGCGGGGUAAUGGCCCACCAAGCCAGUAACCGGUACGGGCCUUGAGAGAGGUGGCCCGGAGAUGGACACUGAGAGAAGGGUCCAGGUCCUACGGGGCGCAGCAGGCGCGAAACCUUCGCAAUGCGCGCAAGCGUGACGAGGUUAAUCCGAGUGAUUUCCGCUGAGGAGACCUUUUGUCUGCUGUAAAUAGGCAGGCGAAUAAGGGGAGGGCAAGCCUGGUGUCAGCCGCCGCGGUAAUACCAGCUCCUCGAGUGGUCGGGGCGAUUAUUGGGCCUAAAGCAUCCGUAGCCGGUUCCGUAGGUCCUCUGUUAAAUCCAACCGCCCAACGGUUGACCUGCAGAGGAUACCGCGAGACU
rnacentral:rRNA from 1 species